CAAGAAGAUCAGAUGAUCGCCGGCGGAGAAAUCCGUCGGAGGAAAGUCCGGGCUCCGCAGGGCGGGAUGGUCGCUAACGGCGACUGGGGGUGACCCCAAGGAAAGUGCCACAGAAAAUAUACCGCCACGCGCAAGCGGGGUAAGGGUGAAAAGGCGAGGUAAGAGCUCACCGCUUUUUCGGCGACGAAAAAGGCAGGGUAAACCCCAUCCGGAGCAAGACCAAAUAGGGGAACGCUUGAGGGCUGCCCGUCCGAUGUUCCCGGGUAGGGUCGCUAGAGGAAGCGGGCAACCGCUUUCCCAGAUGAAUGAUCAUCGCCUGGCGCGGGGCAACUCGCGCCAGGAACAGAACCCGGCUUACGAUCUUCUUGUGGC
rnacentral:RNase_P_RNA from 1 species